UCGUAUAAAAUUCUAGAUAGAAGAAUGAUAAUGCAAUUUUCUAUCUAUAAGUCUUGGCCAAAUUACGUGCCAGCAGUCGCGGUAAUACGUAGAAGACUAGUGUUAUUCAUCUUUAAUAGGUUUAUAGGGUACCUAGACGGAAAAUCAAGCCUAAAUGAGGUACUAAUUUUCUAGAGUUUUAUGUGAAAAGGUCGAAUUACCAGAGGAGAGUCAAAAUUCUGUUAUACUGGUAGGACGGACAACGGCGAAGGCAACCUUUUAUGUAAAAACUGACGUUGAGGGACGAAGCCUUGGGUAGCAAUAAGGAUUAGAUACCCUAGUAGUCCUUGGAGACAAUUAUGAGUGCCAUAUAUAAAUGAAAGUGCAAGCACUCCACCUCAUGAGUAAAGCGGCAACGCCCAAAUUGAAAUCAUUAGACCGUUUCUGAAACCAGUAGUGAAGUAUGUUAUUUAAUUCGAUAAUCCGCGAACAACCUUACCACGCAAGCGCUGCACGGCUGUCUUCAGUUAAUAUCGUGAGAUUCUGGUUAAUUCCUUCAAUUAACGWWWACCC
rnacentral:rRNA from 1 species